ACUCCUACGGGAGGCAGCAGUGGGGAAUUUUGGACAAUGGGCGAAAGCCUGAUCCAGCAAUGCCGCGUGCAGGAAGAAGGCCUUCGGGUUGUAAACUGCUUUUGUACGGAACGAAACGGUCUGUUUUAAUAAAGCGGGCUAAUGACGGUACCGUAAGAAUAAGCACCGGCUAACUACGUGCCAGCAGCCGCGGUAAUACGUAGGGUGCGAGCGUUAAUCGGAAUUACUGGGCGUAAAGCGUGCGCAGGCGGUGAUGUAAGACAGUUGUGAAAUCCCCGGGCUCAACCUGGGAAUUGCAUCUGUGACUGCAUCGCUAGAGUACGGUAGAGGGGGAUGGAAUUCCGCGUGUAGCAGUGAAAUGCGUAGAUAUGCGGAGGAACACCGAUGGCGAAGGCAAUCCCCUGGACCUGUACUGACGCUCAUGCACGAAAGCGUGGGGAGCAAACAGGAUUAGAUACCCUGGUAGUCCACGCCCUAAACGAUGUCAACUGGUUGUUGGGUGCAUUAGUACUCAGUAACGAAGCUAACGCGUGAAGUUGACCGCCUGGGGAGUAC
rnacentral:rRNA from 1 species